CGAGUGAGGGCCCUUUGGGUCCAACCUCCCACCCGUGUUUAUUUUACCUUGUUGCUUCGGCGGGCCCGCCUUUACUGGCCGCCGGGGGGCUCACGCCCCCGGGCCCGCGCCCGCCGAAGACACCCCCGAACUCUGUCUGAAGAUUGAAGUCUGAGUGAAAAUAUAAAUUAUUUAAAACUUUCAACAACGGAUCUCUUGGUUCCGGCAUCGAUGAAGAACGCAGCGAAAUGCGAUACGUAAUGUGAAUUGCAAAUUCAGUGAAUCAUCGAGUCUUUGAACGCACAUUGCGCCCCCUGGUAUUCCGGGGGGCAUGCCUGUCCGAGCGUCAUUGCUGCCCUCAAGCCCGGCUUGUGUGUUGGGCCCCGUCCUCCGAUUCCGGGGGACGGGCCCGAAAGGCAGCGGCGGCACCGCGUCCGGUCCUCGAGCGUAUGGGGCUUUGUCACCCGCUCUGUAGGCCCGGCCGGCGCUUGCCGAUCAACCCAAAUUUUUAUCCAGGUUGACCUCGGAUCAGGUAGGGAUACCCGCUGAACUUAAGCAUAUCAAUAAGCGGAGGAAAANAAACCAAC
rnacentral:rRNA from 1 species